CUUCAACGCGCCCAGCCACAGCGGCUGUUCGUCGGAGUGCGCCUGCCCGUACGUCGCCAGCAGCGCCUGCGCCUC
rnacentral:antisense_RNA from 1 species